GAUGAACGCUGGCGGCGUGCCUAAUACAUGCAAGUCGAGCGAACAGACGAGGAGCUUGCUCCUCUGACGUUAGCGGCGGACGGGUGAGUAACACGUGGAUAACCUACCUAUAAGACUGGGAUAACUUCGGGAAACCGGAGCUAAUACCGGAUAAUAUAUUGAACCGCAUGGUUCAAUAGUGAAAGACGGUUUUGCUGUCACUUAUAGAUGGAUCCGCGCCGCAUUAGCUAGUUGGUAAGGUAACGGCUUACCAAGGCAACGAUGCGUAGCCGACCUGGGAGGGUGAUCGGCCACACGGGAACUGAGAAACGGUCCAGACUCCUACGGGAGGCAGCAGUAGGGAAUCUUCCGCAAUGGGCGAAAGCCUGACGGAGCAACGCCGCGUGAGUGAUGAAGGUCUUCGGAUCGUAAAACUCUGUUAUUAGGGAAGAACAAAUGUGUAAGUAACUAUGCACGUCUUGACGGUACCUAAUCAGAAAGCCACGGCUAACUACGUG
rnacentral:rRNA from 1 species